CCUACGGGUGGCAGCAGUCGGGAAUAUUGCACAAUGGAGGAAACUCUGACGCAGUAACGCCGCGUGCGUGAAGAAGGUUUUCGGAUUGUAAAAUGCUGUAGACAGGGAAGAAACAGGGCAGUACCUGUAGAAUACGCUCCGACUAACUACGAGCCAGCAGCCGCGGUAAUACGUAGGGAGCAAGCGUUAUCCGGAUUUAUUGGGUGUAAGGGGUGCGUAGACGGGAAGUCAAGUCGGUUGUGAAAGCCCUCGGCUUAACUGAGGAAGUGCAACCAAAACUAACUUGCUUGAGUGCUGGAGAGGAGAGUGGAAUUCCUAGUGUAGCGGUGAAAUGCGUAGAUAUUAGGAGGAACACCAGUGGCGAAGGCGACUCUCUGGACAGUAACUGACGUUGAGGUACGAAAGUGUGGGUAGCAAACAGGAUUAGAUACCCCUGUAGUC
rnacentral:rRNA from 1 species